UACGUAGGGGGCAAGCGUUGUCCGGAUUUAUUGGGGUUAAAGGGGGCGUAGGCGGCGUUGUAAGUCAGUGGUGAAAUAUGGCAGCUUAACUGUCAGGGUGCCAUUGAUACUGCGGAGCUUGAGUACAGAUGAGGUAGGCGGAAUUGACGGUAUAGCGGUGAAAUGCUUAGAUAUCGUCAAGAACACCGAUAGCGAAGGCAGCUUACUAGGCUGUAACUGACGCUGAGGCACGAAAGUGUGGGGAUCAAACAGG
rnacentral:rRNA from 1 species